AACGAGAGCGACCGGUGCUUGCACUGGUCAAUCUAGUGGCGAACGGGUGAGUAACACGUGGGUAACCUGCCCAUCAGAGGGGGAUAACAUUCGGAAACGGAUGCUAAAACCGCAUAGGUCCUUUAACCGCAUGGUUGAAGGAGGAAAAGAGGCGCAAGCUUCUGCUGAUGGAUGGACCCGCGGUGCAUUAGCUAGUUGGUGAGGUAACGGCUCACCAAGGCCGUGAUGCAUAGCCGACCUGAGAGGGUGAUCGGCCACAUUGGGACUGAGACACGGCCCAAACUCCUACGGGAGGCAGCAGUAGGGAAUCUUCCGCAAUGGACGCAAGUCUGACGGAGCAACGCCGCGUGAGUGACGAAGGUUUUCGGAUCGUACAACUCUGUUGUUAGAGAAGAACAAGUGCUAGAGUAACUGUUAGCGCCUUGACGGUAUCUAACCAGAAAGCCACGGCUAACUACGUGCCAGCAGCCGCGGUAAUACGUAGGUGGCAAGCGUUGUCCGGAUUUAUUGGGCGUAAAGCGAGCGCAGGCGGUUCCUUAAGUCUGAUGUGAAAGCCCCCGGCUCAACCGGGGAGGGUCAUUGGAAACCGGGGAACUUGAGUGCAGAAGAGGAGAGUGGAAUUCCAUGUGUAGCGGUGAAAUGCGUAGAUACAUGGAGGAACACCAGUGGCGAAGGCGACUCUCUGGUCUGUAACUGACGCUGAGGCUCGAAAGCGUGGGUAGCAAACAGGAUUAGAUACCCUGGUAGUCCACGCCGUAAACGAUGAGUGCUAAGUGUUGGAGGGUUUCCGCC
rnacentral:rRNA from 1 species